AUUGAACGCUGGCGGCAGGCCUAACACAUGCAAGUCGAGCGAGCGGCGGACGGGUGAGUAAUGUCUGGGGACUGCCCGAUAGAGGGGGAUAAAUACUGGAAACGGUAGCUAAUACAGCAUACGAUCGGAUAACCCAUAUGGGAUUAGCUAGUAGGUGAGGUAAUGGCUAACCUAGGCGACGUUCCCUAGCUGGUCUGAGAGGAUGAUCAGCCACACUGGAACUGAGACACGGCCCAGACUCCUACGGAGGCAGCAGUGGGGAAUAGUGCACAAUGGGAGCAAGCCUGAUGCAGCCAUGCCGAGUGUAUGAAGAAGGCCCUAGGGUUGUAAAGUACUUUCAGUCGGGAGGCGUUACCCACAGAAGAAGCACCGGCUAACUCCGUGCCAGCAGCCGCGGUAAUAC
rnacentral:rRNA from 1 species